rnacentral:rRNA from 1 species
CCUACGGGAGGCUGCAGUGGGGAAUAUUGGGCAAUGGAGGCAACUCUGAACCAGCAAAGCCGCGUGAAUGAUGAAGGUCUUCGGAUUGUUAAGUUUUGUGAUGGGGGAUGAAAACAAUGACGGUACCCCAAUAGCAAGCUACGGCUAACUACGUGCCAGCAGCCGCGGGAAUAAGUAGGUGGCAAGCGUUAUACGGAGUGAGUGGGCGUAAAGGGUGCGUAGGUGGGUUAGUAAGUUGGCGGUGUAAUUCCGGGGCGCAACAUCGGCGCUACCGCUAGAACUAUUAGACUAGAGGGCAGGGGGAGUAAUGGGAAUUCCGAGGGGAGCGGGGGAAUGCGUAGAUAUUAGG